rnacentral:rRNA from 1 species
GGAAUAUUGGACAAUGGGGGCAACCCUGAUCCAGCAAUGCCGCGUGUGUGAAGAAGGCCUGCGGGUUGUAAAGCACUUUCAGUAGGGACGAAACUCUUGAUGGUUAAUACCUAUCAGGCUUGACUUAACCUACAGAAGAAGCACCGGCUAACUCCGUGCCAGCAGCCGCGGUAAUACGGAGGGUGCGAGCGUUAGUCGGAAUUACUGGGCGUAAAGGGCGCGUAGGUGGUUUGGUAAGUCAGAUGUGAAAUCCCCGGGCUUAACCUGGGAAUUGCAUUUGAUACUGCCAGACUGGAGUGUGAUAGAGGUAAGCGGAAUUCCCGGUGUAGCGGUGAAAUGCGUAGAUAUCGGGAAGAACAUCAGUGGCGAAGGCGGCUUACUGGAUCAACACUGACGCUGAGGCGCGAAAGCGUGGGUAGCA